UAUUAUCAUGGCCACGUAAGCAUAUAGGAUUUGUGCUCUUUAGCAUGGCCAUUCAUUUACUAAACCUAGCCGAAGUAUUUGAUUUAUGGUGUUAUUGAUCAUGAUGGCAUGAAGUGUCCUCAGGUAGCCUACAACACCGAUGUCUUCUUAAAAGGAUUAGUUUACCAUUGUAACAUCGUUUACUUUAUAAAAAUGCAUAUCGAUUCCUUCAUUACAGAGUGCGCUUAGGAUCAAUUUCCAUUUGGAAACUGUUCUGCUAUAUUCAUUUUUAAACAGUAGCCUAUAUCACUGUGCCAAGUUAUCUCAUGUAGUAGAUUCAGUAUUUUUCAUAGAAAUGAAAAUCCCAUUCGUCAAAUGUUAUUCACAAGAAAAAAGAACAAAGUAGACGGGUGGAUUGGGAGAAAUUACGUCCUUUCAAAUUUCACCAUUGUCUUCAAGUUAUCUUCAGUUGGGAGGCCAAAACUAUGAAACAUCUGAGCCAGGUUGAGAUGGUAUAUAUUCUGUUUGCACUGGAAGAAAUGAGCAACUCCACUAGUGCUCAGGUCGGCUGUAUUGGGGGAAUCAGAAGGAGCUGUCAGCUGAGACAGGACCAGAGGAGGAGAGAACGAUGGACAUUAUGAUUUCAUCCACAGCAGCACAGGCGCUCACCGUUCUGAAUUUGCAUUAAUAUCAGCACUUAUAAACCUGUGUUCUCACCAGUGUAAUUUUCACACCAUAUCUUUCUCCACAUCUUAUCUUAAUGCAUUUUAGUGUUUGAUGUGUGACCUGCUGGACCUCCCUCCCUGUUUCUACAGUAAUGGAUUAGUGGAGUUCACUGUGACAUACAAUGGGCCUAAUUUCUCUUCAGUGCCUCCCAGUGCACUCACUGGAAAUUCAUUGUUGGCAUGUGGCUGUUAGUUGCUGUUUUGAACAUGUUCAGCAGCGUGUGUGUGUGUGUGUGUGGGCAUGUAUAACUAUCUGUGUGAGAACCAAAUGUCCUCACAAGGAUAUAAAUAUGAGGAGAAUUACGCAAGGUGGGGACCUUUUGCUGGUCCCCACAAGUUCAAGAGGCUGUUUUAGGGUUAGGACUUAGGGUUAGGGUUAAGGUUAGGCAUGUAGUGGUUGAGGUUAGAGUUAGGCUUACAAAAUGAAUACAAGUCAAUGGGAAGUCCUCACAAGUAUAGCAACACAAACAUGUGUGUGUGUGUAUGAUAUCCAUUAUUUUUAAAUUUUAAUUUUCCUACUUCUUCAAGCCCCCAUUUGUGUAUUUAGCUGUGACCAGGUCAAUAUCAUAACUGACAAAUUGCAAUUUAAUAUACACUUAAACACACUUAAUAAUAAUAAUACUGUAUUUUCCUGAUUAGCAGUACAGCACAAAAACACAGCGAGGGACUAUUGUAGUUUAUUCUGCAGGGAAACCUCAUUGCUAAUUACACUGAAAUCUCAAUUCCCUGAAAAACCUUUUAUUGUAAUUUGCAUCCAUUAUUGAACAUAGCCCUAUUGCUGAUUUUUCAAGCUAGAGCACAUUAUGUUCUAUUUAAGCUGUUUAGUUUUCACUCUUAACAAGAAAACUUGCAAAAAAACAGCAAAGAAUAAGUGAUAGAAAGCAUCAUCAUGAUUUGUUAAGAAUCGGGGAGGCAGUUUUUUGAAUCCAGAAAAAAAGGUGAAAAGCACGGUGUGCAUUUGUUGGAUUUGUUACAUUUAAAAUUAUAAUUAGGAUCAUUGUUUUAAAACCACCUCCAAAUACAGUGAGAAAAUGACGACAGGAUGAGAUAUUGAACAUUGGAACCAUUCAUUGUUAGUCUGCAAUGAUUCUGCAAGACUGUUCAUAUAUUUAUGUCUUUCAUGAAUGUAUUGAGAUAAUUCUGCUUCGUGAUCGAUUAAAGCUUCGGCGGAAAGUUGCAU